GGGGGUAUAGCUCAGUGGCAGAGCGUCUGCUUUGCACGCAUAGUGCCGUCGGUUCUAUCCCGACUACCUCCA
rnacentral:tRNA from 1 species